CAGAGUGAAUGAAGGAGUAGAGGGGAGAUUCCCCCAUCAAGUGUCAAUGGGUCUGAUGGACCAGCUCUCUGUAUAAAAGACAGGUCAGAUCAGACCUCAGACAUAUAGCCAGAGCAUCAGCUAGACUUCUGACACAGAACCAGACUAGAGCAUCAGAGACCAGAGCAUAAGAGACCAGAACAUCAGAGACCAGAGCAUCAGAGACCAGAGCAUAAGAGACCAGAGCAUCAGAGACCAGAGCAUCAGAGACCAGAGCAUCAGAGACCAGAACAUCAGAGACCAGAACAUCAGAGACCAGAGCAUCAGAGACCAGAACAUCAGAACAUCAGAGACCAGAGCAUCAGAGACUAGAACAUCAGAGACCAGAGCAUCAGAGACCAGAGCAUCAGAGACCAGAGCAUCAGAGACCAGAGCAUCAGAGACCAGAGCAUCAGAGACCAGAACAUCAGAGACCAGAGCAUCAGAGACCAGAGCAUCAGAGACCAGAGCAUCAGAGACCAGAGCAUCAGAGACCAGAACAUCAGAGAACAUCUCAAACAAUACAAUCUUCAGCAUCUCAACCAUCUCUGAACCAUGAAGACCCUGACUGCUCUACUCCUCCUGGGACUGCUCUGCUCCCUCCACACGACGUCUGCAGGUGUCAUCGCGUUGGAAAUAGCACCUGACUGCUGUAUGAAAUUCAGCGAGGAUCCCUCUUCAACAAGUAGUUUCUCUCAGAACAACCUCCAGUAGCUGCCCUCGCAAAGCACUGAUUUUCACCACAAAGAAAGGGAAGACAUUUUGUGUUGACCCUUCUAAAGCCUGGGUCCAGAGUCAUGUGACCAAGAUUCAGAGCAGAUCGACUACUGCCAAGACGACGAUGAUGUCAUCAACUACCAUCACCCUCUAACACCCCAACCCUUGUUGGUGCACUUUAAAGGGAAUAGGUUGCCAUUAGUGACACAAACCUUGUCAUGCAUGUCAAUACCCUAUCUGAGAUUGGUAUAGAUUAGGUUCAAUGUAAUGUACUAGGUUAAUAUCCUAUCUGAGAUUGGUAUAGAUUAGGUUCAAUGUAAUGUACUAGGUUAAUAUCCUAUCUGAGAUUGGUAUAGAUUAGGUUCAAUGUAAUGUACUAGGUUAAUAUCCUAUCUGAGAUUGGUAUAGAUUAGGUUCAAUGUAAUGUACUAGGUUAAUAUCCUAUCUGAGAUUGGUAUAGAGGAGGCUCAAUGUAAUGUACUAGGUCUAGGAUAAACUAAUUGUUUAUUUUUCUAAAACUGUAAACAUAUUUGACAUGUAACCUAUUUAAUAUUUUAUAAAGCCUGUGAAAAUUUCAAACAUCCUGUGAAAGAGUGGUUCAUAUUAUCCAAUUAAUGUAUUAAUGGAUAUAUAUGGGUUGUAACUAGGUCUAUUCUACUGAUAUAGAUAUUAAUGGGUUGUAACUAGGUCUAUUCUACUGAUAUAGAUAUUAAUGGGUUGUAACUGGGUCUAUUCUACUGAUAUAUAUAUUAAUGGGUUGUAACUAGGUCUAUUCUACUGAUAUAGAUAUUAAUGG